UUCAAGUAUGCAACAGCCAAGGUCACAAGGCCUUAUUUUGCAUAAGGUAACUGUCCUGAACAAGAUAUUCAUUGCACAAUUCCACUGCAUGGAAAAGCAAAGCUCAGUGGUAGUGUCAAGACCUGGCUGUGGAAAGUGGUUCAGUGUCUACACGUACCAAGAUGUUAUCAAGCAAUGCACACUGGAUUAGAGUUAUAAAAUUUUUAAGUCUUUUAGAACAAGUUUCUCAUAUUGUAUGAUGGAGAUCCUGGCCACCAUUGAGAAGCACGUGCAGAAGGAGGUGGUGCACCCAAGAAAAUGGAAUUUGUACUCCUGCAGCAAACGGCUUUUCCCCUUUAGAAGGAAAAUCUCUCUCUGGGACUCUAAGUCUCUAUAGACUGAGGAAGCUUUGUGCAUAAACAAACUACUGCAAAAGAAAUACACGUACAGAUAGAAAAGAGUCACAACUGCAACUGAAAAAUAAGGAAAAGCCAUACAUAACUUCAUUAAGGAGUAAAAGUCUUCUGAAGCAGCUUAACGUCUUUGUUGAAGCAAGUAAUUACAAUGCAAACAGCAGAAAGAAAAACAGCUUUCUUGUUUAAACGCUGUCCUGUACAGCAGGGGCCUGAUUCCACAGCCCACAGCCAGGGAUCAGUUCUCAAGGCAUCAAGCACAGGAUUCAGACUGACGCCAGCACAAAUCCCAGGCACAGGAAGCUCCCAGGGCUGGGCCCUCAGUCCUGGCUUUGGCAUGCAUUUUACUGCCUGCAGUGGUAAUUUUCACUAUGAAUAAACCAAACACAUUGUUUUCACUACAGAUGUUUUUAAAAGGCCCUCUGAAGAAACCCAGCUGAAAAGCUGUGAUCUUUAGAGAUCCUGACAGGAUCCACAUGAUGGCCAUUAGAAAUUUUACCUUUGGACUCCUUUUCCUUAUUUAAAUUGUUUCUUCAGGAAGGCCCUCCAAAAUGAAACAUCGCUGACUUCACCCAAGUUUGGCACAUGCAUCAUCUCAGUUGGGCACACAAUAACCGGAGAUAAUUAGGCAACAUACUUAAGCCAUUUUGAAAGGAAGGAGGGUGGACGUGUGCCAUGGAUUUGUAGCCCUCAGGAUACAAGCAGUCAACCAAGUUUAAAUGCUUGCAAAAUAAAAAUAAAUAAAUAAACCCCUGGCACUAUAGGGGAACUGGAC